GCAAGAGAUAAAGUGCCUUAAAAUCA
rnacentral:piRNA from 1 species